rnacentral:rRNA from 1 species
UACGUAGGCAGCAAGCGUUGUUCGGAGUUACUGGGCGUAAAGGGUGCGUAGGCGGCUCUAUAAGUAUGGUGUGAAAUCUCCCGGCUUAACUGGGAGGUGCGCUAUAGACUGUGGGGCUAGAGUGCGGGAGAGGAAAGUGGAAUUCCUGGUGUAGCGGUGAAAUGCGUAGAUAUCAGGAGGAACACCGGUGGUGUAAACGGCUUUCUGGACCGCAACUGACGCUGAUGCACGAAAGCGUGGGUAGCAAACAGG